rnacentral:rRNA from 1 species
UACGUAGGGGGCAAGCGUUGUCCGGAUUUAUUGGGCGUAAAGAGCGUGUAGGCGGCUAGGUAGGUCCGUUGUGAAAACUCGAGGCUCAACCUCGAGACGCCGGUGGAAACCAUCUAGCUAGAGUCCGGAAGAGGAGAGUGGAAUUCCUGGUGUAGCGGUGAAAUGCGCAGAUAUCAGGAAGAACACCCGUGGCGAAGGCGGCUCUCUGGGCAGUAACUGACGCUGAGGAGCGAAAGCGUGGGGAGCGAACAGG